AAGGAAUAUUGGACAAUGGGCGGAAGCCUGAUCCAGCCAUGCCGCGUGAAGGACGAAGGCGCUCAGCGUUGUAAACUUCUUUUGGGCGGGAACAAACCCUGGGACUUGUCCUGGGCUGAGGGUACCGUCAGAAUAAGCACCGGCUAACUCCGUGCCAGCAGCCGCGGUAAUACGGAGGGUGCGAGCGUUAUCCGGAAUCACUGGGUUUAAAGGGUGCGCAGGCGGCGCGCUAAGUCAGCCGUGAAAUUCCUUGGCUUAACCAAAGGGACUGCGGUUGAUACUGGCGUGCUUGAAUGGGGUUGAGGCUGGCGGAAUGCGGCAUGUAGCGGUGAAAUGCUUAGAUAUGCCGCAGAACACCGAUUGCGAAGGCAGCCAGCUGGGCCUUUAUUGACGCUGAGGCACGAAAGCGUGGGGAGCAAAC
rnacentral:rRNA from 1 species